GUGAACUUGGUUAUGGGAUGCGAUUGCUGUAGAGAGAAUGACAGUGAAGACUACAGUUUAAAAAAAAGCAAGUCGACAACAAAGAAUGUCCUCAAGGGACUGAAAACAGAACAGAGGCAUUUUAAGACGCAUCAUCAUGCUAGUAACAAGGAGAACCCAACAGGCCAACCAAACAAGAAUAACAUUGAUCGGAACAGGGUCCAGCUAUGUUGUAGUUUUCUACAUUAUACUUGCACAAAGUAUUCAGGCCACAAAGGAAUGCUAAAAAUACCAAAAACCAAUAAAUCAAGGACCAAGCUUAUUGAUAGUGCUUUCUUAAGGAUGUUGAGUGACAACAAUGCAACACAAGAAUAUGUAAUGGCCCCAGGACGUGAGCUCUCUCUCCUCACCAA
rnacentral:misc_RNA from 1 species